rnacentral:rRNA from 1 species
GACGAACGCUGGCGGCGUGCUUAACACAUGCAAGUCGAACGGAAAGGCCCCCUUGUGGGGUACUCGAGUGGCGAACGGGUGAGUAACACGUGAGUAACCUACCCUUGACUUUGGGAUAACUUCAGGAAACUGGGGCUAAUACCGGAUAGGAGCUCCUGCUGCAUGGUGGGGGUUGGAAAGUUUCGGCGGUUGGGGAUGGACUCGCGGCUUAUCAGCUUGUUGGUGGGGUAGUGGCUCACCAAGGCGUUGACGGGUAGCCGGCCUGAGAGGGUGACCGGCCCCAUUGGGACUGAGAUACGGCCCAGCCUCCUACGGGAGGCAGCAGUGGGGAAUAUUGCACAAUGGGCGGAAGCCUGAUGCAGCACCGCCGCGUGCGGGAUGACGGCCUUCGGGUUGUAAACCGCUUUCGCCUGUGACGAAGCGUGAGUGACGGUAAUGGGUAAAGAAGCACCGGCUAACUACGUG